rnacentral:rRNA from 1 species
UACGUAGGUGGCAAGCGUUGUCCGGAAUUAUUGGGCGUAAAGCGCGCGCAGGCGGUCCUUUUAAGUCUGAUGUGAAAAGCCCACGGCUCAACCGUGGAGGGUCAUUGGAAACUGGGGGGACUUGAGUGCAGGAGAGAAGAGUGGAAUUCCACAAGUAGCGGUGAAAUGCGUAGAUAUGUGGAAGAACACCGGUGGCGAAGGCGGUUUUCUAGCUUACUCCUGACGCUGAGGCGCGAAAGUUAGGGGAUCAAACAG